rnacentral:tRNA from 1 species
CCCCGGCGCAUGUUUAAUGCACAUCGACGAGCUUGCAACCCACCAUGAAUUUCACUACAGGGCCGAU